UUAAAUUGAAGAGUUUGAUCAUGGCUCAGAUUGAACGCUGGCGGCAGGCCUAACACAUGCAAGUCGAACGGUAACAGGAAUCAGCUUGCUGAUUCGCUGACGAGUGGCG
rnacentral:rRNA from 1 species